UACGUAGGUGGCAAGCGUUGUCCGGAGUUACUGGGUGUAAAGAGCGUGUAGGCGGCCAGGUAGGUCUGGUGUGAAAACUCGAGGCUUAACCUCGAGAUGUCAUCGGAAACCAUCUGGCUAGAGUCCGGAAGAGGAGAGUGGAAUUCCUGGUGUAGCGGUGAAAUGCGCAGAUAUCAGGAAGAACACCAAUGGCGAAAGCAGCUCUCUGGGACGGUACUGACGCUGAGACGCGAAAGCGUGGGGAGCGAACAGG
rnacentral:rRNA from 1 species